AAUUUUGCUCAAUGGGCGCAAGCCUGAAGCAGCGACGCCGCGUGAAUGAUGAAGUCUUUCGGGAUGUAAAGUUCUGUCAGCAGGGACAAUAAUGAUGGUACCUGCAGAGGAAGCACCGGCAAACUAUGUGCCAGCAGCCGCGGUAAUACAUAGGGUGCAAGCGUUAUCCGGAUUUACUGGGCGUAAAGCGUAUGUAGGCGGUAUUUUAAGUCAAACUUCAAAUCCCGGGGCUCAACCUCGGUUCGGGUUUGAUACUGGAGUACUAGAGUUUGGGAGAGGAAAGCGGAACUAACAGUGUAGCGGUGAAAUGCGUAGAUAUUGUUAGGAACACCCGUGGCGAAGGCGGCUUUCUGGACCAACACUGACGCUGAGAUACGAAAGCGUGGGGAGCAA
rnacentral:rRNA from 1 species